rnacentral:rRNA from 1 species
UACGUAGGGCGCAAGCGUUGUCCGGAAUUAUUGGGCGUAAAGAGCUCGUAGGCGGCUGGUCACGUCGGGUGUGAAAGCCCGGGGCUUAACCCCGGGUCUGCAUUCUAUACGGGCUAGCUAGAGUGUGGUAGGGGAGAUCGGAAUUCCUGGUGUAGCGGUGAAAUGCGCAGAUAUCAGGAGGAACACCGGUGGCGAAGGCGGAUCUCUGGGCCAUUACUGACGCUGAGGAGCGAAAGCGUGGGGAGCGAAUGGG